ensembl:lincRNA
AGACAUCCCUAGACACUGCUUCUAGAAGAAGGUAGGAGUGAAGGUACGCCCUCUCAAAGGACAGUUUGGCAGAUUUGGAGAAGAAACCUCACCAACAUAAUGUUAGGAAGACCAAGCCAGGAAGAGGAGUCAUACAACACCCAUGGUCUAUUUGGAGGUCCAGACAAGUCCCUAAGCACAGUCAUGAUCGGCGACCAGAAUGGAAAUCGCUCUUAGACCCCGGAUUCUGACAGCCUGUUCCCUUCAGAGAUGAAUGAAGAAGACACAGCCCCAGAGCCGAUGCAGCAAGAUCCCUGGUUUCGGGCAAGGAAGUUCUCAGAGGAAGACACCACCUCGGUGACCCAGGUCGAGCCACGGACCAAGAAGCUCCCACGUUCCAGCCACUUAGUGUAUGACGCUGAUGUCCAAAUGUCUGACUGGACCCCGAAGAGACAGACAACUGGAUGAGAUUGACUCUUGCUUCGUCGGUAGUGUGGUCAAUGCGGACCUGCAGAUUUUCUCGACAAGGGGAAGAGCAGCACAUUGCUGGCAUAGUGGCAGCAGCUGCCCCAUGUCAUCAUCCCAUGGGAUCAGCAAACUCCAAACCCUUGGUGGUCUUCACUCUGCCAG